AUUGAACGCUGGCGGCAUGCCUUACACAUGCAAGUCGAACGGUAACAGGUCUUCGGAUGCUGACGAGUGGCGAACGGGUGAGUAAUACAUCGGAACGUGCCUAGUAGUGGGGGAUAACUACUCGAAAGAGUGGCUAAUACCGCAUGAGAUCUACGGAUGAAAGCAGGGGAUCGCAAGACCUUGUGCUACUAGAGCGGCCGAUGGCAGAUUAGGUAGUUGGUGGGAUAAAAGCUUACCAGGCCGACGAUCUGUAGCUGGUCUGGGAGGACGAUCAGCCACACUGGGACUGAGACACGGCCCAGACUCCUACGGGAGGCAGCAGUGGGGAAUUUUGGACAAUGGGCGAAAGCCUGAUCCAGCAAUGCCGCGUGCAGGAUGAAGGCCUUCGGGUUGUAAACUGCUUUUGUACGGAACGAAAAGCCCCGGGUUAAUACCCUGGGGUCAUGACGGUACCGUAAGAAUAAGCACCGGCUAACUACGUGCCAGCCGCCGUCGUAA
rnacentral:rRNA from 1 species